GACGUAGGGAGCGAGCGUUGUCCGGAUUCAUUGGGCGUAAAGCGCGCGUAGGCGGUUUGGUAAGUCGGAUGUGAAAUCCCGAGGCUCAACCUCGUGACUGCAUCCGAUACUGCCCGACUAGAGGUAGGUAGGGGAGAUCGGAAUUCCUGGUGUAGCGGUGAAAUGCGUAGAUAUCAGGAGGAACACCGGUGGCGAAGGCGGAUCUCUGGGCCUUACCUGACGCUGAGGCGCGAAAGCUAGGGGAGCAAACAGGAUUAGAUACCCUGGUAGUCCUAGCCGUAAACGUUGGGUGCUAGGUGUGGGCGGAUAUCGACCCCGUCCGUGCCGAAGCUAACGCAUUAAGCACCCCGCCUGGGGAGUACGGCCGCAAGGCUAGA
rnacentral:rRNA from 1 species